GCCUUUGUGGAGUAACGUUAGUACACUCGACGCGUAUUCGAGUGAACCAGGUUCGAUUCCCGGCUAGGGCA
rnacentral:tRNA from 1 species